UAACUGAUGUUUUUAAAAUUCACGUGCAUACUAGAGUAGUUAAGGCAGUGAACGUUGUGUGUGAUUAUGUAUAUGUUUGUGUGUAUAGAUGUGCAGGUUAGGUUACCACUCUUAGCACAUGCCUUGUAAUCUAAAAGUUUCCAUUUAAAUAAUGUUAGAAAAACAUAUUUUUAAUAAUUUUUACCUGUUUUUGCUAAAAUGAACGUUGACUUGCACCGAAUAAUUGGAAAUCAACAGGUGGAAUGUUGUAGAAAGUAAAAAUGAAGUUGCAUGUUAUUUGCCAGGUGCUCUUUUCUCUCUCCCUUAUUAAAGUUAUUGGCUCCAAGCCAUGUAAGCUAUGUACUCUUGAAAAUCUUUUAUUCUUCCUUAAUAAGCUGUUAACUCCAAACCAUGUAUACUCUACAAGCUUUUUUGUUAUCAACAUAAACACGUUGAUUGUUUGUUGUUCUCACGCUCAGAUACGUCACGUAUACUUCUUUAUACGCGGUUACAUAUGCGAGUCCAAAAAAAUGCAACUGCGCAUCCAAAUCGCGCAUGGAUUGCUUUCUCAUAAAUUUCUGUCGUGAGCCGCGCGCGGGAUUGCUUUCCCAUAAGUUUCUGUCAUCAACGGCGCACGGGAUUGCUUUCUCAUAUAUUUCUUCAACUAUACGGCUAUUUAUGUAGCUCUAAAAAUUUAUAACAUUUUUAACAAAUGUUAGACGUUGUAAAAUAAAGGCAGUAUGAUACACGAAUCAAUCUGGAACAGAUUUAAAUAAAAUUUUUAUUUUGAAAAUCAAGUAACCUGCAUGAAGAAUAUUGUUUAAAUAUGGAAAACGAUAAAAAUUCUGAAAAUGUUCUGUACACAUGUGUUUCUUGUGAAAAAACUUUUAAAAGAAAGAGAGAUUUAAUAAUACAUGAAAGAAUACACUCAAAAAAUAAACCACAUAUAUGCACUAUAUGUAAAAAAAGUUUUACUCAAAUGGGAAAUUUAAAUGUGCAUAUCAAGAUCCAUGAUACUGUGAAAGCUUUUAAAUGCUUAAUAUGCGAAAAAAGUUUCAAAACAAAUGGGCAAUUAAAAGUACAUCAAAGUAUACAUAAAGGUUUGAAAAAUUACAGUUGUAAUGAGUGUAAUAAGAAGUUCUCCCAAAUCAACAUCUACAAACUCAUAGAUUGACACAUACUGAUCUAUGUAACUUUACAUGUCAUAUCUGUAAUAAAACUUUUGUUAGAAAAGAUGUUUUGGAAAAACAUGUAAACUCACAACAUCCUAAAAAUGUUUACACAUGUAAUUAUUGUAAGAGAACAUACGUUAACAAAAAAUAUUUGGAAAAGCACAUUAUGGCUCAUAUGUCUGGAAAAGUUAAAAUUGUAAAAAUUCUUAAAACUCUAAGACCUCCAGUUUUAUCUGUACCCUUAUUAUAAAAUUAUUAAUUAUACUAUAUAUACACAAUAAAAAAAUAUUUGUUCAAAAACA